rnacentral:lncRNA from 1 species
UGUACCACAUCAGUUGUAUAUGAAGGCAAAUCCUUUGCCAGAAUUCAUUGCUUCUGGGGACAAGGAAAGUCUAAAUUGAAAUUCCAAAUUCCAAUCAAGCCUUUCAGGAAAGUUUCUCUCAUCCUUCCUUAACUGAAAAACAAAUAGCUUUUAAUGGGAGAGGAGUAUACCUUCCUUUCAGGUAUAACUGGAAGUUGAGCAAGAUAUGUGCCUUCUCUGCUUCAGACAGAAUGUAGUAGCUUAGUGCUUAAGCACUUGGGGAAUGAUGAAAUCCCUGGUUGCUUCUGAUAGAUCACAUGUGCUUCAGUGCAGCAGAUAACAAAGUAAUAUAACUAGCCUCUGAACAGGAAGAACCAGUGACUCAAUGGAUCUUUAAACAGACAGACUCCACCUUGGGGCUUCUUCUGUGGAUCAGUAAUUCUCCUAUAAGUGGUGGCAUGUUAAAGGAAGUUUCUUAAUCUCCCUCUGUCUCUUUAAGAGCAAAAGAUUUUUUAAAGUAAGAGCAUAGCUGAGAAAAGAGUUAGCUAGAGCUGAAGAUUCCAUUACCUAGGAGACAAGAUAUAUAAGAAAGGGACAGUUGAUUCGAGCUCCCUCGGAGCUUGGGGAGAGCAGGGUCUCUCAGCCAAGAGUCACUUCUGACAGUUUUACGACUGAUAGUUGGGAAAGAGAAACAGAUUUAAGGAGAGAAACGGAUUUAAGGAGUUCAUAGUUGGGAGUUGUUUAUUUAUUAGCUUAGGUAGUUAGCUAGUGAAUUAAUUUCUAGAUAGGCAGUGUAAUUAGUUAGACCUGGCCUAGCCAGGCAAGAAGAACCUGUCCUUGAACACAGAGUAUGGUUUUUAGAAAUUUUAGGAGCUAUUACUCUUCUAAUUUCUUCAUUCCUUUGUACCUCAAACAUCCUGAUCCAUAUUCCUACUCAGAGAAGAAAAACUCACUGGAAUUCCAAAACCACCUAUCAAAACAACAUAAUAUGCAAAAGGAGUUUAUAAUUGAAAGUGAGAAGACAACACACAAAAGAAAACUGAAAGCGAGUUAA